UGGGGAAUAUUGCACAAUGGGGGAAACCCUGAUGCAGCGACGCCGCGUGAGCGAAGAAGGUUUUCGAAUCGUAAAGCUCUGUCCUAUGAGAAGAUAAUGACGGUAUCAUAGGAGGAAGCCCCGGCUAAAUACGUGCCAGCAGCCGCGGUAAUACGUAUGGGGCGAGCGUUGUCCGGAAUUAUUGGGCGUAAAGGGUACGUAGGCGGUCUAUUAAGUCAGGUGUGAAAGCGUGAGGCUUAACCUCAUUAAGCACUUGAAAAUGAUAGAAUUGAGUGAAGGAGAGGAAAGUGGAAUUCCUAGUGUAGCGGUGAAAGGCGUAGAUAUUAGGAGGAAUACCGGUGGCGAAGGCGACUUACUGGACGACAACUGACGCUUAGGCGCGAAAGCGUGGGGAGCAAACAGG
rnacentral:rRNA from 1 species